UACGUAGGGGGCUAGCGUUGUCCGGAAUCAUUGGGCGUAAAGAGCGUGUAGGCGGCCCGGUAAGUCCGCUGUGAAAGUCGGGGGCUCAACCCUCGAAUGCCGGUGGAUACUGCAGGGCUAGAGUCCGGAAGAGGCGAGUGGAAUUCCUGGUGUAGCGGUGAAAUGCGCAGAUAUCAGGAGGAACACCGAUGGCGAAGGCAGCUAGCUGGGACGGUACUGACGCUGAGGCGCGAAAGCGUGGGGAGCAAACAGG
rnacentral:rRNA from 1 species